rnacentral:lncRNA from 1 species
CUUGAAUUGGCUUGGCUGGGGAAUAAGUGAGCCCACAUAGGGGAAGAUGGCACACAGUGUGCUCGACAAACGGUGCUAGGUCCAUGCCCAGGAUCCAAGUCUGAGAACCCUGGGGCCUCUGAAGCCGAGUGUGUGAACUUCACCACUACACUACCAGUGUCAUGAAAUUUCUCGAAGAAUUCCGUUAAUGUUAAAGGUUUUUUGCCCGUGUCACUUCUUCUGAGACAUCUUCAACCUUUCAUCACAACCACUUUCUUUAUUUAUGUUGGUCUACUUCAGUGAGCCAAGGGAAGAAAAGGAUGGAAAAGUAGCAGACUGGAAAAAGUCCUGAAGGAAGGACAGCUUUUACUCCCACACAGGAGAUCAAUAGCUAUAGAAGUGCCAUGGAGUCAUGGACUCUUUUCUUCUUCAUGAAUCUAGGCAAAUCUUCUUUUUAAACUUUGUUGUUGUUUUUAUCUGCUGAUCGAAACUGCUUCAGGAUUUCCUGUGGCCUGCUUUAUCUCCUUAGAGUCCUUUCUUGUAAGUUUUAAUUUGCAAAAAUCACAUUUUUUUAAAUUAAAAAAUAUCUACAUUUUAAAAAUAUACCAUGUCUGUGUUUUCUAAACACUAUAUCCAAACCAAGGCAAAACUAAAGAAUGGAAUCCUUGGAAUUCUUUUAAUCCCAUUUGCUUUUCCUUAAAUUCAGCCUCCUCAUUUAAGUUGUGGCAUAUUAUUUUUCUUAUAAUUAUUGCU